UUUGUGAGGAUAAAUGACCUACUUAACUCAGUGGUUAGAGUAUUGCUUUCAUACGGCAGGAGUCAUUGGUUCA
rnacentral:tRNA from 1 species